UUUCUUGCUUGAGCCGUCACUCCUCCCUCCCCUCCUUCUCUUCUCCCUUCCCUCUCUCAAUUCCCUCUCCCUCACGGCCCACAGCAGCUACCGGCACACCAGACCACCAGCAGACCACCGUGAGCAGCCCGCAGCAGCAACGCCGCGUUUUCCCUCCCCCACGCACUACAAGCAGCAGCCUCACCACGAACGACCACAGCAGCGGCUGUUUCGUGAGCCACCAGCAGGUACAGCAGCCGCAAGAGGUGGUUCCUCCACCAUUUUCGUGCUCCACACCACUACAAAAACCACUUAUACCCUCACCCAUUUCUAGUUCCCCUUGUGCCCGGUUCAUAAGAGGGGCGUAAGAACCCCUUCGAAGCGAUUUUUGUGGCUUGUCAUCUUGCAGUGCAGCAGGGGCGUCGUAGAUAGGUCUUGCAGGUUUUGGAGUUUCCUUGCAUUGCAUAUGGGGGGGGGGAUCGAGUGAGAACCUUGACGCGUGCCCUGUUCGAACCAUUUUUGACGCUACAUGUGAUUUUGAAUUGAAAGUGUGUAUGUUUUGGUUGAGGCAUGAGUCCUCCUUUUGAUGUAAUUCGUUCCGCUGCAAAGAUUUAUAUCGUUUUAUAUUUUGUUAUAGUAUCUUGAAUGGCUUGUACAGUGGAUUAUCUUUUUGCUUGGAAAACCCAAGUGUUUACAUGGGAACCACGAUCCAUGCUUAGCAUGUCGACAGAGGUUUUGGCGAUGACCUUUCCGCCGUGAUUCUGUUACGAGGCCAUUGAUGCCUCUUCAUUAUGAUGAUUUAUCGUUUGUCUAAAUCUUCGGCGCGUCAAAUUUCAAGGCAGAUGCUGCCGAAAUUUCCGUAGGAUUUUGUUUGGAAGUUUUCAAACGUCAUCUCUUUCUUUUUCCUAUUUAAAUAAGUAUUUAUUUCUACAAGUGACACCCUUGAAGGGUCUGAAAUUCAGGGGUGUUACAGGUACCCUAGUGGGUUUAGUUCCCGGAGAUAGGACCAUCUGUAUAUGGUCGCUGUACGGGGGUGUGAUCAUGCUUUACCGUUGGGCGCAGGUAUGGCCCGUCAUCGCCCUUGGUUGAUGCCAUGUGGGUCUUGCAAAUUCCAAUAUGGUGGCCUCUAGUCACAUAUAUAGACAGAUAUUUGAAAGUGGUUAAGCUCUUGGUUCAAGUGAUAUCGAGAAGUUAUGAAGUUGAAAAAAAGUGAAGAAGAUGGAAAUGACGGUGAGAAGUAGGAAUUGAUGUUUAGUGGUUAUGAUCAGCACCUAGAGUGUUGUGGAAUCACCCUCAUAUUAUGACACACUCUACUGAUACUAAUUAUGUCUUACUAUGAUAUGAUGUUAGUUUCUGACGUGUACAUGUUUGAUUUGUUUGAAAUGGCUCUUUCUAUGAUGGCCCUGUGAUGACACGUUUGAUAUUUCCUUCUUACGUUGAGCAGCAGGGAGAUCAUAGAUAGACUUAAACAGGUUAUGGAGUCUCUUGUGCAUGGCAUAUGGGGGAUCGAGCGUGCAACCUAUGUUUAUAAUAAUGUUUUCAUGGGUUUUAACCCCAAAGUUUUAUUUUUUCCUGUGUUGUAUAUGUUUUGAGAGACUUGCGACCUCCAUUUGUAUAAGUUUAUUUCCGCUGCAUAAUUUUUUGGUUUGUAUGUUUUAGUUUAAAA